UCUCCAUAUUGAAUGCAGUUGUCAAUUUGAGCCAAAACAUAUUGUAUACUGCUUUCCUUCCUCAGGUCAAGUGGCACAAAAUUCACCAUGCUAUACUCAUCCACCAGUUCAAUCAAAGCUUUAUUUAGCUUUAAAAACUGAGGGGCCAUGCGUUGAUUCAGUUCUGACAACAAAGCUCGAGGCUCUGGAUUCAAGUAAUCUUCAACGUCCUUUUUGUUGGUUAAGAGGUCCAUUUUGGAGAGGAUAUUAACAUGAGGCAAUUCAAGUUGUACCAUUGCAGAAAGGGAUGCCAUACACCCACUUAUAAACUUGGUCACAUCUGUGAUGAACUGUGAAUCAAUUAAGUACACAGCACAGACAUUGAAAUUUUUACGCUUCAAGUGCUCCACAAAGUUCCGAAGCACCGGAACAUGUGAAAAAAGUUCUAUCUGGCCUGGGCAGUCAAAAACUAGAUAGUCAUCA
rnacentral:misc_RNA from 1 species